CCUGAUCCAGCAAUGCCGCGUGUGCGAAGAAGGCCUUCGGGUUGUAAAGCACUUUUGUCAGGGAAGAAAUCCUUUGGGCUAAUACCCUAGGGGGAUGACGGUACCUGAAGAAUAAGCACCGGCUAACUACGUGCCAGCAGCCGCGGUAAUACGUAGGGUGCAAGCGUUAAUCGGAAUUACUGGGCGUAAAGCGUGCGCAGGCGGUUGUGUAAGACAGGUGUGAAAUCCCCGGGCUUAACCUGGGAAUUGCAUUUGUGACUGCACGACUAGAGUGUGUCAGAGGGGGGUGGAAUUCCACGUGUAGCAGUGAAAUGCGUAGAUAUGUGGAGGAACACCAAUGGCGAAGGCAGCCCCCUGGGAUAACACUGACGCUCAUGCACGAAAGCGUGGGGAGCAAACAGGAUUAGAUACCCUGGUAGUCCACGCCCUAAACGAUGUCAACUAGUUGUUGGGGAUUUACUUCCUUGGUAACGUAGCUAACGCGUGAAGUUGACCGCCUGGGGAGUACGGCCGCAAGGUUAAAACUCAAAG
rnacentral:rRNA from 1 species